AUGACACAUUAUGUAUUGCUUCUCUGUUCAUUUAAAGAACAACUCCAGCAGCAUGUACGUGUUCAUGCAAUGGAAGCAGUGAUGGGUUGUUGGGAGCUUGAACAAUCCUUACAAAGUCUAACAGGGGCAUCUCCUGGUGAAGGCACUGGGGCGACUAUGUCUGAUGAUGAAGAUAACCAAGUGGAUAGUGAGACCAACAUGUUUGAUGGAAGCGAUGGAUCAGAUGGUAUGGGCUUUGGUCCCCUGAUAUUGACUGAGGGUGAACGGUCUUUGAUUGAACGUGUUCGACAUGAGCUGAAGAGUGAGCUUAAACAGGGGUACAAAGAAAAGCUGGUUGAUAUCAGGGAGGAGAUCAUGCGCAAGAGGAGAGCUGGUAAACUUCCCGGGGAUACUGCAGCUACAUUGAAAGCCUGGUGGCAAGCUCAUUCCAAGUGGCCGUACCCUACCGAAGACGACAAGGCUCGCCUGGUGCAGGAGACGGGGUUACAACUGAAGCAGAUUAACAAUUGGUUCAUCAACCAACGCAAAAGGAACUGGCACAGCAGCAACACAGCUUCCUCUAGCGAAAAGACCAAGAAGAAAAGAAACGUUACAGGUAAUGACGGCACGGAGCAAUCGUGGUAG
rnacentral:rRNA from 1 species